rnacentral:rRNA from 1 species
AGCCAUGCAUGUCUAAGUGCAAGCUGCAGUAAAGUGAAACCGCGAAUGGCUCAUUAAAUCAGUUAUGGUUCAUUGGAACAUGUACCGUUUACUUGGAUAACUUUGGCAAUUCUAGAGCUAAUACAUGCCUAACGAGUCUCAACCAGCAAUGGAAGGGACGCUUUUAUUAGAUCAAAACCAAUCGGCUCCGGCCUCGAGUUCGUCUCGGGCGUCGCGUGUCGUCGUAAUUUUGGUGACUCUGGAUAACUUUUGCUGAUCGUACGGUCUCCGCACCGAUGACGUACCUUUCAAAUGUCUGCCUUAUCAACUGUCGAUGGUAUGCUAUGCGCCUACCAUGGUUUUAACGGGUGACGGAGAAUCAGGGUUCGAUUCCGGAGAGGGAGCCUGAGAAACGGCUACCACAUCCAAGGAAGGCAGCAGGCGCGCAAAUUACCCACUCCUGGCACGGGGAGGUAGUGACGAAAAAUAACGAUAUGGGACUCAUCCGAGGCCCCAUAAUCGGAAUGAGGACACUUUAAAUCUUUUAUCAAGUAUCCAUUGGAGGGCAAGUCUGGUGCCAGCAGCCGCGGUAAUUCCAGCUCCAAUAGCGUAUAUUAAAGUUGCUGCGGUUAAAAAGCUCGUAGUUGAAUGUGUGUUCCGCGCUGCCGGUUCACCGCUCGUCGGUGUCUAACUGGCAUGCAUGCGGAACGUCCUGCUGGUGGUGGCGAGCGGGCGCGGUGGCGUGCGCGUCGAUGCGGCCGGUGUCGGCGACGGGUUGAGUAAUCUUCUCGCUCCCGCCCGGUUAUAGCAGGCGCGCGUCGCGUCGCGUCCGCGGACCCCGAGUACACCCGACGCGGUGCUCUUCACUGAGUGUCGCGCGGGCCAACACGUUUACUUUGAACAAAUUAGAGUGCUCAAAGCAGGCCCUUGUUUGCCUGAAUAAUUCUUGCAUGGAAUAAUAGAAUAGGAUCUCGGUUUUAUUUUGUUGGUUUUAGAAGCCCGAGAUAAUGAUUAAUGGGGAUUGCCGGGGGCAUCCGUAUUGCGACGUUAGAGGUGAAAUUCUUGGAUCGUCGCAAGACGAACUGCAGCGAAAGCGUUUGCCAAGUAUGUUUUCUUUAAUCCAGAACGAAAGUUAGAGGUUCGAAGGCGAUCAGAUACCGCCCUAGUUCUAACCAUAAACUAUGCCAUCUUGCGAUCCGCAGUGUUUCUUAGAUGUCACGGCGGGCAGCACCCCGGGAAACCUAAGAUUUUGGGUUCCGGGGGAAGUAUGGUUGCAAAGCUGAAACUUAAAGGAAUUGACGGAAGGGUACCACAAGCAAUGGGGCUUGCGGCUCAAUUUGACUCAACACGGGUAAACCUAUCAGGCCAAGACACCGAAAGGAUUGACAGAUUGAUAGCUCUUUCUCGAUACGGUGGGUGGUGGUGCAUGACCGUUCAUAGUUCGUGGUCCGAAUUGUCUGGUUAAUUCCGGUAACGAGCGAGACCCUUGCCUACUAACUAGUCGAUUCCGGCAUCCUUGGAGCAGCCGGCGACUUCUUAUCUUCUUAGAGGGACAAUCAGCUUCCAGCUGAACGAGACGGGGCAAUAACAGGUCUGAGAUGCCCUUAGAUGUUCUGGGCCGCACGCGUGCCACACUGAAAGCAGCAGCGUGUGUUUUCCCUGCCCGAGAGGGCUGGGUAACCCGUUCAAAUUCUUUCGUGCUAGGGAUUGGGGCUUGUAACUCUUCCCCACGAACGAGGAACUCCUAGUAAAUGUGAGUCAUCAGCUCGCGUUGAUUAUGUCCCUGCCCUUUGUCCACACCGCCCGUCGCUACUACCGAUUGAAUGAUUUAGUGAGGUCUUCGGACCAGUGCUCGGCCUCUGACAUGUGCUGAGGCCGGUGUCACAGGGAAGAUGACCGAACUUGAUCA